CCAAGGCUCUCACGCACGGCUGCCCUCAAAUCCUCAGCAGAGAGAAGACAAAGGCUGUGGGAGCAAAGUGACUCCACAUAGUUCUCAAAGCACUCCCUUCUUGGUCCUGUGAAGCUGCCUGCAGGAUGUUCUUCGCUCCUUUGAACACGCUGAGAAUACAGAGACAGGAUCUCCUGGUACUUGUAAAUCCACCGCAUCUUCCUGGGCGCUGAUGCAUCUGAGCCAGGGAUACAUUCAUUAGUAAACAACAUUUGGAAGAACAGGAAAAUAUUCUGCUGACAGAAUUUGAUCACUUGGUCAAAGAAAGCAUAGAAAAAGAAAACAACACAAAUGUUUCAGCAGUGUCUAAAAAUUGUUCACAGGGCCCUAAUAAAUAAGAAUUUAUUUCUUGAUGUAAUGUCAUAAAGUCACUAUGCUGCAUAGUAUUUCAGUAAUAAUUUUCUGGAAAAAAAAAUUGACCUGAAGUCUCUGUCAGCAAAACUGUUUCACAGUGGCAAAUGCAUAUGUCUGAGUCAGAUAGGUCCCAGCUUCCAAAUUUACGAAAAGUGUUUACAGGAAGGACUUAUUAAAUUAGAUUAUCCAGAAGAGGAAGGGGGGCUUUGAAAUUUUUAAAUUCUCAUUAUUUUUCUCAUUUUCAAAGCACUGUGAAAAAAAAUCAUGAAAAUUAAGAAAUUCAAAGACAUAAGGGCAAAACUAAAACGGCAAUUCCCUUUCUACCUGGAGGAGAGCUACAGUAACACGAAUGCUGUACAGUUCUCACAGAAAAGGGGCCGAGUCGUAUGCACUGUCUUGAAAACCGCUCCUCGGUUAGAAAUGAAAUCUUACUUUGUUUCCAAGUCAACCACAGCCAGCUAUCUUACCGUGUCUAUGAUUGCAAGGUGAGGACCAUGGGCCAGGUGAGUGACAGCCAUCUCCCAAAGCAUAAGCCAUGUGCAACUCUUUAUUUUAAGUAAUGUCACUAUGAGUUAGCUUUUAUCUACUUAGUUAGUUAGUUAGUUAGUUAGUUAGUUAGUCAGUUUACCUUUUCCUUGAGAUCUAUGUUUGACUCACGACCUGCCGGCAAAGGGGAAAGGUUAGGGGAGGUCUGGUGUAACAAGUUGGUUCCCUCCUGGUUCUCCUCCUUUCUAUCUUUUGCAGAUCAAGCACUGAGAGGUCCUCAGCCCCUACCACAGUAGUGAAUGCACCUCUCCUGGUUGGCCUUACUACAUGUGGGAAGGGGGUUCUAGAGACCCACUGA